UACGUAGGGUGCAAGCGUUAAUCGGAAUACUGGGCGUAAAGCGUGCGCAGGCGGUUGUGCAAGACAGAUGUGAAAUCCCCCGGGCUCAACCUGGGAAUUGCAUUUGUGACUGCACGGCUAGAGUGUGUCAGAGGGGGGGUAGAAUUCCACGUGUAGCAGUGAAAUGCGUAGAGAUGUGGAGGAACACCGAUGGCGAAGGCAGCCUUCUGGGCCAACACUGACGCUCAUGCACGAAAGCGUGGGGAGCAAACAGG
rnacentral:rRNA from 1 species